rnacentral:tRNA from 1 species
AAUUAUUUUGGCAGAUUAGUGCAAUAGAUUUAGAAUCUAUAAAUGUAUUUAUACAAAUAAU